rnacentral:rRNA from 1 species
UAAUACGUAGGAGGCGAGCGUUAUCCGGAUUUAUUGGGCGUAAAGAGGGCGUAGGCGGCCUUGCAAGUCGGAUGUAAAAUCUCUCGGCUUAACUGGGAGGGACCAUUCGAUACUGUUGGGCUAGAGAGCAGCAGAGGGAGGUGGAAUUCCCGGUGUAGUGGUGAAAUGCGUAGAUAUCGGGAGGAACACCAGUGGCGAAGGCGGCCUCCUGGGCUGUUACUGACGCUGAGGCCCGAAAGCGUGGGGAGCGAACAGGAUUAGAUACCCUGGUAGUCCACGCCGUAAACGAUGGACACUAGGUAUGGGGAGUAUCGACCCUCUCCGUGCCGAAGCUAACGCAUUAAGUGUCCCGCCUGGGGACUACGGCCGCAAGGCUA